rnacentral:rRNA from 1 species
GACGAACGCUGGCGGCGUGCUUAACACAUGCAAGUCGAACGAGAAAGCCCUUCGGGGUAAGUACAGUGGCGAACGGGUGAGUAACACGUGGGCAACCUGCCCCAGAGAGCGGGACAACCCGGGGAAACCCGGGCUAAUACCGCAUGAUGCGUCUCCACUUAAGUGGAGCCGCCAAAUGGUAGCUUCGUCCUCCGCCCUGGGAUGGGCCCGCGCCGGAUUAGCUAGUUGGUUGGGGUAACGGCCCACAAGGCGACGAUCCGUAGCUGGUCUGAGAGGACGAUCAGCCACACUGGGACUGAGACACGGCCCAGACUCCUACGGGAGGCAGCAGUGGGGAAUCUUGCGCAAUGGGCGAAAGCCUGACGCAGCAACGCCGCGUGGGGGAAGAAGGCCUUCGGGUUGUAAACCUCUUUCAGUAGGGACGAAGCUUCCGGGGUUAAUAGCCUACGGGGUGACGGUACCUACAGAAGAAGCCCCGGCUAACUACGUGCCAGCCGCCGCCGUAC